rnacentral:rRNA from 1 species
UGCGCAAGUCAUUGGGACAUGCGAAGCCUAAAGGCGCAAUGAAAGUAAAGGUCCGCUCUACGGGGUGGACCUAGGGAGGAUGGGGCACGUUACGGCGUGCCUCUGCACUCCCGGGGCGUCUCGUUCUCAUUGCGAGAUGAGGCGCACCUAGAGCGUACACGCUGGGACCCGAAAGAUGGUGAACUAUGCCUGGUCAGGACGAAGUCAGGGGAAACCCUGAUGGAGGUCCGUAGCGAUUCUGACGUGCAAAUCGAUCGUCGGAACUGGGUAUAGGGGCGAAAGACUAAUCGAACCAUCUAGUAGCUGGUUCCCUCCGAAGUUUCCCUCAGGAUAGCUGGCGCUCGUCUAGCGAGUUUCAUCCGGUAAAGCGAAUGAUUAGAGGCAUUGGGGUCGAAACGGCCUCAACCUAUUCUCAAACUUUAAAUGGGUGAGAUCUCCGGCUUGCUUGAAAGCUGAAGCCGCGAGAACGAAUCAGAGUGCCAAGUGGGCCACUUUUGGUAAGCAGAACUGGCGCUGUGGGAUGAACCAAACGCAGAGUUAAAGCGCCUAAAUCGACGCUUAUGGGAUACCAUGAAAGGCGUU